CACGCCAUGUGAGUUAUGCAACUUAUGGGCCGGGGAAACGUUCAGUCCGGGUUAUAUAGGUAGAAUAUGUAGAAACAUUGAUAACGGAUCAGAAACUAUCAAUGUUAUGGCUACUGACAGAAGACAGCAGGGAGAUGUUUAUGUUAUGAACAUUUCUUAUCAACAAACCCUGUAAGAAGAAGGACCUCUGUUCUACAGCUUGUGAUGGAUCUGAUCAUAGAACACAUAAUAUCAACCCAGUUUAAAGGAAGCAUGUAACCACAAGUCCACAAUAGAAAGAUUUAAGGAUUGUGAGAAACCAGACACAUCAGAAUAAAGACCAUGGGAGUGUGAAAAAAAAAGAACAGUAUAGUGUAAUCCUUAAGGACUUUCUUCAGACUUCCACAAAGUCAUGAAAAUUCUGUUGAACUGACAUACUUUUAACAAAAAUAAUGAUUCUCUGAGUCAACAAUUCAAGGAAUAUCUGUGUGUUGAGACUAAGAUGGAUUUUUAUAGGAGUUUUGAUGACAAAGAAUCAUCCAUUGGAAAUAUGGCUUUGAACUUGAAUCUCAUUACAGUAUAGAUGCAUGCAUAAUUGUGGGCUGAAGAAGAAAACCAGGACAAAAGAAUAUUCCUAGCUUUCAUCAGAAAAAAAAACAAACCAAUCAGCCUUUUCAAAUGCUUGAAUGCCCAGCUGAGAGAGCCAGCCAGUGCUGAAAAUAUUUCUCGGAAGGGAAACCAAAUCUGUUGUGACAAAUGAAAUAAAGCUUUAAAAGUUCAUUUAAAAACAAACUGAUUCAUCUAUAAGUGAGAGUUGAUUGCCCUUGACAGUUGCCAGUGGAAUUCAGAUCUUCUAAAUUGUACCAGUAUUAACUUUUAACAGUAUUUAGUAUAUUGAAGUGAUUUGCCUUGAAUUUACAUUGCAUAUGGUGUACAUUACGUCAAGGAGAUAUAACACACCUAGUUAAACAGUAAGGUCCAUAGCUAAACAUGGAUAUGGAAUGAAGUUCACCUGAUCCAAAUGUUCAAUUGCACAAUUCUGCUAAAAAGAAGUCUCUGGUAUCCAACAAUGCAACAUUUAUAUGUUUGAUUGAUUGUAUACUGUUUAACGUCCCUCUCCAGAAUAUUUCACUGAUAUGGAGACGUCACCAUUGCCGGUGAAGGGCUGCAAAUUUAGGCCUAUGCUCGGCACUCAGGGCCUUUGAGCAGGGAGGGAUCUUUAUCGUGCCACACCUGCUGUGACACGGGGCCUCGGUUUAUACGGUCUCAUCCGAAGGACCGCCCCAUUUAGUCGCCUUUUACGACAAGCAAGGGGGUACUGAGGACCUAUUCUAGCCCGGAUCCCCACGGGGC